rnacentral:rRNA from 1 species
GCGUAUCCGGAAAUUAUUGGCGUAAAGAGCUCGUAGGGCGGUUUGUCGCGUCUGCUGUGAAAACUGGAAGGCUCAACUUCCAGCCUGCAGUGGGUACGGGCAGACUAGAGUGCGGUAGGGGAGAUUGGAAUUCCUGGUGUAGCGGUGGAAUGCGCAGAUAUCAGGAGGAACACCGAUGGCGAAGGCAGAUCUCUGGGCCGUUACUGACGCUGAGGAGCGAAAGCGUGGGGAGCGAACAGGAUUAGAUACCCUGGUAGUCCACGCCGUAAACGUUGGGCGCUAGAUGUGGGGACCAUUCCACGGUUUCCGUGUCGCAGCUAACGCAUUAAGCGCCCCGCCUGGGGAGUACGGCCGCAAGGCUAAAACUCAAAGGAAUUGACGGGGGCCCGCACAAGCGGCGGAGCAUGCGGAUUAAUUCGAUGCAACGCGAAGAACCUUACCAAGGCUUGACAUAUACGAGAACGGGCUAGAAAUAGUCAACUCUUUGGACACUCGUAUACAGGUGGUGCAUGGUUGUCGUCAGCUCGUGUCGUGAGAUGUUGGGUUAAGUCCCGCAACGAGCGCAACCCUCGUUCUAUGUUGCCAGCACGUAAUGGUGGGAACUCAUAGGAGACUGCCGGGGUCAACUCGGAGGAAGGUGGGGAUGAAGUCAAAUCAUCAUGCCCCUUAUGUCUUGGGCUUCACGCAUGCUACAAUGGCCGGUACAAAGGGCUGCAAUACCGCGAGGUGGAGCGAAUCCCAAAAAGCCGGUCUCAGUUCGGAUUGAGGUCUGCAACUCGACCUCAUGAAGUCGGAGUCGCUAGUAAUCGUAGAUCAGCAACGUAC